rnacentral:misc_RNA from 1 species
UUUCCGUAGGUGAACCUGCGGAAGGAUCAUUAACGUAUCUGCAUCGGGGGGGCUGCGAGUGCGGCCCAGCAACGGCGAAUUGCCCUGCAGCGGGGCCCCCCUUUCCCCUCGAACCCUACAAACCCACGGUGCACCUUUCGCGGUGGAGGGUGCGGGGCGAGCCCGCCUGAAGCCGCGGUCUCACAGACUUGUCUCAGAAUGUCUUGCGUACUCGUUCCGCCCAUAAACGUAACAACUUUCAACAACGGAUCUCUUGGUUCUG